rnacentral:misc_RNA from 1 species
GUCAGAUAAUUCUGGCUUCGUGUCAUUUGGCAACUUCCACUCAAAUGCGUGCAACAAUGAAGCCAAUUGAUACAUCAGCAUCUUCUCUGCUACAGGCAGCCCCGCGCAAAUUCGUCUUCCUGAUCCAAAUGGAAGAAACUGGAUAUUGUUGCCUGAGUAAUCAAAUUUGGUGGUUUGCUUAUUCAGAUACCUAUCGGGUCUAAAUUCCAGGGGAUUGUCCCAAAGAUUGGGAUCCCUGUGAAUCGCAUAAACAUUCAGAAAAACUGCAGUGCCCUUGGGAAUGGUAUAUCCACCUACUGUGCAUGAUUGGCUUGGACAAUGGGGUACUAACAGAGGAAGCGCUGGAUGCAGCCGAAAUGUUUCCUUAACCACAGCAUCCAAAAAAAAUAGUCUGGGCAAGUGGAAUUCUUCCACACAGUUGUUCAACCCCACUACUUCAUCUAAUUCUUGGUGGACCUUUUCCAUCACCUCUUGAUUUUGCAUCAACUCUGCAAUUACCCAUUCUACCAUUGUUGACGUUGUGUCUGUUCCGCCAAGCACUGUAUCAAUGAGCAAGCCCUUGAGUUCAUUCAUGCUAAAUGAUGUUUCUGUAUUCUCAUGAUGCUCCUUAAGCUCCAAAAGAAGCAGCAAUAAGUCCUUCCUUUGGUUAUUCUUUUCUACAGUAGUGCUGACUUUGUUGGCUUCAACCAAUUUUUGACCCCUCUCUAUUAUAGGAUGGAUAAAAUUGUCGAAACUUUGCAAGAUCUUCCUUGUUUGCUUCUGCAUGCCUUGCAAAUCCAAUGCUGCAAGCACUGGGAAGAGAUCGGAAAUAUUUGGCUUUCCCAACAGCACCAUGAGUUCGGCCAUUAAAUUUCUGAAUUCUUUUCCAACAUUAUGGGUGUCCUCUCCUUCAAGUAUGCCACCCCACAACAUGUUCAUGAUUGAUUUUGAGAUCGUUAAAAAUGCUGUUUCACCAAUAUCUAUGGGCUUGCCUGUGUUGUUAUAUGUAUUCCUAAUUGUUCUCUUAACCUCUUGUUUUCUUAGAGCCGAAAGGGUCUCAAGGUUUGAGUUGCUUAAGAGUUCACGUACAAAUACCUUGCGCAUCUUUUUCCAGGCAGGACCCAUGGAGGACCAGGCAAUAUCAGAUCCACCAUAUGAGAUGAUCCGUCCGACAAUGGGUGCAUCACGGUUGCCAAAUGUUGCAUCUUGGUCACGAAGAAUUUCUUUGGCUGCUGAUUGUGAGCUCACCACUACACAUAAUUUCUUCCCCAGCCAAAGCUUAUAGAUUGGGCCAUAGACCCCAGCUAAUUCUGUGAAUUUCUUGUGAAGCUCAGUGCUAAGAAAUGGAAGGUAACCAACUACUGGCAAGCCACGAGGACCCGGCCGCAAUGGAGGAAUCGCCUUCUUUGAUUUCCUGACAUUCCACAAGAACCAUAAAAUUAAAAUUGCCGGCACCGAUAGAGUGAGAAAAAAAUUCUCUCUUUCCCUGCUACAAUCCCACCAAGAAGACCACAAGCCAUAAAAGAAGUUGAACAUUUUAGCGUGGGAGAAAAGAAAAUUGUAGGAAUGGAG